CACGUAGGUGGCGAGCGUUAUCCGGAAUGAUUGGGCGUAAAGCGAGCGCAGGUGGUUUAUUAAGUCUGGUGUAAAAGGCAGUGGCUCAACCAUUGUAUGCAUUGGAAACUGGUAGACUUGAGUGCAGGAGAGGAGAGUGGAAUUCCAUGUGUAGCGGUGAAAUGCGUAGAUAUAUGGAGGAACACCGGUGGCGAAAGCGGCUCUCUGGCCUGUAACUGACACUGAGGCUCGAAAGCGUGGGGAGCAAACAGG
rnacentral:rRNA from 1 species